GCCCCCGUAGCUCAGUGGAUUAGAGCACUGGUUUCCGGGGCCAGGUGUCACAGGUUCGAAUCCUGUCGGGGGUG
rnacentral:tRNA from 1 species